CUGAAUUUAACAAAAUCUCCAAUUUUGCCAAAAUAACAUAAUUUGGUUAGUGUUUUGAACUCAUAAUUCAACUGUAAAGGUUCAAAUCCUUUUUUUGGUUUUCUUUUGGAUAUACCUUCUUUUUUUUUAAUGAGUUUGAUUUUGACUCAGCUUUAACGUUUUUGAAGAGCCUUGACAUGCUUAUUUUUAUUAGUGAAAACGGAGUAAUAAAAGAAUUUUACUUUUUUGAAUUUGAGCAUUCUUUUUAUAAUUCGAAAAAAUAAAUUUUUUCAAAAUUAGACAUAAAUGUAAGCUAAAAUUUACAUUGUCGAUGAUUUUUAAUCAUUUCUAUCGAAUCAGUGAUCCGGUUAAUUCUGAAACAACAAUUAAAUUUAGUAAAAUCGCAGUUUGGAAUCUUGGACAAUGAACGAAAGUUUGAUCCAGCUACUUCAAUUGACUGUUUGUAAGUUUUUACCAAAGUCAAAACACAAAAAACACUGAUUUUUGUUUUUUAGUUUCGACCAAACUCGUGCCAGAAGUCUCGGUAAUGCGAGUGAAAUAAACGUUAAGUUAAAUUACUUGAUUUAAAUCACUUUUUGAAUUUUUAACUUUUGAAAAUACAAUAUCAGUUUGUUUUUUUCAUUUUCAAUAUUGUUAACAGUUAGUAAUUCAAACGAAGGUUGAAUAACUUAAAUUAGUGAUAAAAUACUUUUUAGUUUUUUUGGAAAAUCAAUGGCGAAAGCUACCUUCGAUGAAUUAUUAAAGCGUCGUGUUCGCUUUUUACUUAAUUUGAUAACGUGUAAGUAUGGUUAGCAACGUGAAUUUAGACACUCACUUAGUCCAUACCGUCAACUAUGAUUUUUUUCUAUUUUUCAAAAUAGAUCGUGAAAACAAAAAAAUCAAUCUGAGGAUUAAGCACGCAAGUGUUAAACUUAAAAAAUUAGAUGAGAAAGAGCACCAUCCGUGGAUCAUGUUUUUUAAUUCGAUAAUACACGCAAACCUUACCUUUUUUUGAAUGUGUUAAUGCUUUAAAAAUUUUAAAAUUUAACUAACUCACAAGUGUUGCAUGGUUGUCGUUCAGAUCUUACUUUGAAGUGUUUGGUUUAUUCCAAAAAAGAUCGUAACUUUUAUUCAAUCUUUCUCAAUUUUUUUUUUGAAAAUUAAGCACAGUUUGAAAAGCAAUGCUAAAAAAGCAAUAGAAAAAAACUACGUCUAAAUCUUUAUGACCUUGAUGAAAAGGGCUUUCAAUGUGAUAUAAUGGUUUGAAUAAUAAGUAGCUUUUUUGAACAAUAUAAGCUAAACUUAAAAUGAUAUCAAAAUCCGGAUUAAACUUUGAAAUUUAAGUUUAUUAAGCCAGAAUGGAAAGUAAUAUUGAUUAAGCUUGUCAAUGUGAAGUUUAAAACUCUUUUUUUACUUAUCGCCCAUCACCUUUGAAAAAUAAGUUUGAAAAAAAGUUUGAUUUUUUUAAGUUUUUCUUAAAAAACUUGGAUUUAUUUUUAAACUUGUAAUUUAAAGCAAGUUGUAACAAAGUAACUUUUGAUGAAUCAGAAGUUGGAAUAAUUAUUAAUUACUUAUAGUU
rnacentral:rRNA from 1 species